rnacentral:rRNA from 1 species
UGGGGAAUAUUGCACAAUGGGCGCAAGCCUGAUGCAGCCAUGCCGCGUGUGUGAAGAAGGCCUUCGGGUUGUAAAGCAACUUUCAGCGAGGAGGAAGGUGGUGAGCUUAAUACGCUCAUCAAUUGACGUUACUCGCAGAAGAAGCACCGGCUAACUCCGUGCCAGCAGCCGCGGUAAUACGGAGGGUGCAAGCGUUAAUCGGAAUUACUGGGCGUAAAGCGCACGCAGGCGGUUUGUUAAGUCAGAUGUGAAAUCCCCGGGCUCAACCUGGGAACUGCAUUUGAAACUGGCAAGCUAGAGUCUCGUAGAGGGGGGUAGAAUUCCAGGUGUAGCGGUGAAAUGCGUAGAGAUCUGGAGGAAUACCGGUGGCGAAGGCGGCCCCCCUGGANGAAGACUGACGCUCA